UGCUGUGUGGAAUCCAGUGUUUUCACAGCUGUGUGUUGGAUCCCAUCGGCCUUGGUCCCGAUCGAUCCAGCCGCUCGUUCCUCCUCCAAGGUCGUCUCCUAUUGCUCGCCCCAUCCGCGCCGCUGCCCUUCCGGCCGCCCGUCGCUCCUCCGUCCGCGGCCGCCUGACGCCCUCCAGCUUCGGCCGCCCAGCGCCCCUUCGUCCGCGGCCGCCGGCGCCCCUCCGGCUUCAGCCGCCCGGCGCCCCCGUCCGCGGCCGCCCGGCGUCCCUCCGACUCCGGCUGCUACCCACCACCGGCCCCUUCCACUCGUCGCUGCCGACGGCCCGUCCUGCCUCGCUUGUGGCUCCCUGCCGAGCUGGUGGUCCUGACGCGGGUCGUCGUCUCCACCCACCAGUCGCGAAGCCCGACUGAUCGAGGUCCCCUGCUGCUCGAGGUUCGACCUCUGCCGUGGGCCUUUUGUCUCCCUGGUCGGGUCGCUGCCACUGUUUUCUGCGUGAUUGACUUUCGUCUACGUGGAUUGAUUAUAUACCCAAAAAAAGACAGAGGAGGAGCAUCAUGUCUUCGACAUCAUUGGGCUAUGUCGCCGUUCCACGCUGUCUGGUGAUCUUUGAUGGUGCUAACUAUGCUGAGUUUGCUGCCUUUAUGCGCAUUCACAUGCGUGGCCUUCGUUUAUGGGGAGUUCUUUCUGGCGAGGUUCCUUGUCCUCAGCGUCCAGUUCCUCCUGUGGCUCCUAUUCCACCGCCACUUCCACCGGAUCUUGGCGCAGAUGCUUCUGAUGAUGAUAGGGCUGCAGCCCGGGUUGUUGCUGAUGAUGCGGUCGUUGCUUCUGACCAGCAGGUCGCGGUUUAUUCGGAUGCUCUUUCCAUUUAUCGUGACGAUCUGACUGCUUAUACUCAGUGGUGUGAUGAUGAUGCUCGUGCUGCGGCUGUCCUCACUUCCAGUGUUUUACCACAGUUUGCAUCUGAGUUUAUGGGCCUCAGUACUGUGUUUGAGAUGUGGACUCAUCUUCGUCAGCGCUAUCAGCCCUCUGGUGAUGCUCUCUACUUGUCUGUGGUACGUCAGGAGCAUGCUCUUCAGCAGGGAGACUCCACUAUUGAUGAGUUCUACACUCAAAGUUCUUGCUAUCUGGCGCCAGCUUGACAACCUUCGCACUGCUGUUUGUGGCACUUGUGCGUGUUGCCAGACUGUGAGGUCCGACUUGGAGUUUCAGCGUGUCUAUGAGUUUUUGUCGCGGCUCCGUGGAGAGUUUGAGCCUCGAUGUGCUCAGUUGUUUGCUCGCGGUCGUGUUCCUAUUUCUGAGGUACUUGCUGAGCUUCGUGCUGAGGAGACUCGGCUCCGUGGUGCUGGGUUGCUUCAGGUUCCCUCUGUGUUUGCUGCUUGAACUGCUGCUCCACCAGUGAUUUCUCGCUCCAAUGCCCCACCGCUACUGCCCACUCCUAGUAGUGAGGGUCGCUCUCAUGAGGGUCGCUCUCGUCCUCGUACUCAUUGCAGCUACUGCAACAGGGAUGGUCAUCCCGAGUCUGAUUGCUUCAAGAAGAAGCGUGAUAUGCGUAACAGGGAGCGCAAUUCUUCUUCUAGGACUCGUGCUUCUUCAUCGACGUCAUCUACUGUCUCCUUGACUGAGCAGGAUAUUGUGAAGCUUAAGCGUCUACUUGCCGCUUCAGGUUCUUCGACGGGUACUGCAGGCUCUGUGACUGGUGCUUCUAGUGCUGAGCGGACACCAUCUACACAGUCAGGAUCGUCAGACGAAGGCUCUGGUUGGAGCUGGCCCUCGCCGCCGUGAUUCUCAGGGACUUUGGGAGUUAGACUGGCUUCAUGUUCCUUCCGUUGCCACCACACCCGCCAGUACAUCUGCUUUCGCCAUUUCAGCUGUCAGCUCCUUCCAGCAGUGGCAUCAUCGACUUGGUCACCUUUGUGGUUCUCGACUAUCAUCUUUAGUUCGUCGUGGUCUUCUGGGGCCUGUCUCAGGAGAUGUCUCCUUACACUGUCAGGGUUGUAGGUUGGGUAAACAGAUUCAGUUACCUUAUCCUACUAGUGAGUCGGUGUCUCAGCGCCCUUUUGAUUUAGUACAUUCAGAUGUAUGGGGCCCGGCUCCCUUCGCUUCCAAAGGGGGUCAUCGAUACUAUAUUAUUUUUAUAGAUGAUUUCUCCCGCUA